UCGAUGGAUAGGGGAACUGAGAGGUUUAUCCCCCACACUGGUACUGAGACACGGACCAGACUCCUACGGGAGGCAGCAGUGAGGAAUAUUGGUCAAUGGGCGGGAGCCUGAACCAGCCAAGUCGCGUGAAGGAAGACGGUCUUAUGGAUUGUAAACUUCUUUUGUACCGGAGUAAAGGGCAAUACGCGUAGUACGGUACGAAUAAGCAUCGGCUAACUCCGUGCCAGCAGCCGCGGUAAUACGGAGGAUGCGAGCGUUAUCCGGAUUUAUUGGGUUUAAAGGGUGCGUAGGCCGGUUUUUAAGUCAGCGGUGAAAGUUUGGGGCUCAACCUUAAAAUUGCCGUUGAAACUGGGGACCUUGAGAGCAGAUGAAGUGGGCGGAAUUUGUGGUGUAGCGGUGACAUGCAUAGAUAUCACGAGGAACUCCGAUUGCGCAGGCAGCUCACUAAACUGCAUCUGACGCUGAAGCACGAAAGCGUGGGUAUCAAACAGGAUUAGAUACCCUGGUAGUCCACGCAGUAAACGAUGAUUACUAGCUGUUUGCGAUAGACAGUAAGCGGCUAAGCGAAAGCGAUAAGUAAUCCACCUGGGGAGUACGCCGGCAACGGUGGGUGAAACUCAAAGGAAUUGACGGGGGCCCGCACAAGCGGAGGAACAUGUGGUUUAAUUCGAUGAUACGCGAGGAACCUUACCCGGGCUUGAAAUGUACAUGACGGUUCAGGAAACUGGACUUCUGGCAACAGCAUGUAUGUAGGUGCUGCAUGGUUGUCGUCAGCUCGUGCCGUGAGGUGUCGGCUUAAGUGCCAUAACGAGCGCAACCCACAUUGUUAGUUACUAACAGGUCAAGCUGAGGACUCUGACAAGACUGCCGGCGUAAGGGAUGACGUCAAAUCAGCACGGCCCUUACGUCCGGGGCGACACACGUGUUACAAUGGGAGGUACAAAGGGCCGCUACCGAGUGAUCGGAUGCCAAUCUCGAAAACCUCUCUCAGUUCGGAUCGGAGUCUGCAACCCGACUCCGUGAAGCUGGAUUCGCUAGUAAUCGCGCAUCAGCCAUGGCGCGGUGAAUACGUUCCCGGGCCUUGUA
rnacentral:rRNA from 1 species